UAGGGAAUCUUCCGCAAUGGACGCAAGUCUGACGGAGCAACGCCGCGUGAGUGAAGAAGGAUUUCGGUUCGUAAAACUCUGUUGUUAGAGAAGAACAGCGCAUAGAGUAACUGUUAUGCGUGUGACGGUAUCUAACCAGAAAGCCACGGCUAACUACGUGCCAGCAGCCGCGGUAAUACGUAGGUGGCAAGCGUUGUCCGGAUUUAUUGGGCGUAAAGCGAGCGCAGGCGGUCAAUUAAGUCUGAUGUGAAAGCCCCCGGCUCAACCGGGGAGGGUCCCUGGCAACUGGUUGACUUGAGUGCAGAAGAGGAGAGUGGAAUUCCAUGUGUAGCGGUGAAAUGCGUAGUUAUAUGGCGGAACACCAGUGGCGAAGGCGACUCUCUGGUCUGUAACUGACGCUGAGGUUCGAAAGCGUGGGUAGCAAACAGG
rnacentral:rRNA from 1 species